rnacentral:rRNA from 1 species
UACGAAGGGGGCGAGCGUUGUUCGGAAUUACUGGGCGUAAAGGGCGCGGUAGGCGGCCGAUCAAGUCAGAUGUGAAAGUCCUGGGCUUAACCUGGGGGACUGCAUUUGAUACUGAUUGGCUUGAAUGCAGGAGAGGAUAGCGGAAUUCCCAGUGUAGAGGUGAAAUUCGUAGAUAUUGGGGAAGAACACCGGUGGCGAAGGCGGCUAUCUGGACUGUGAUUGACGCUGAGGGCGCGAAAAGCGUGGGGGAGCAAACAGG